rnacentral:rRNA from 1 species
CACGUAGGGCGCGAGCGUUGUCCGGAAUUAUUGGGCGUAAAGAGCUCGUAGGCGGCCUGUUGCGUCCGCUGUGAAAGCCCGGGGCUUAACCCCGGGUCGGCAGUGGAUACGGGCAGGCUAGAGGUAGGUAGGGGAGAAUGGAAUUCCCGGUGUAGCGGUGAAAUGCGCAGAUAUCGGGAGGAACACCGGUGGCGAAAGCGGCUCUCUGGGACGGUACUGACGCUGAGACGCGAAAGCGUGGGGGAGCGAACAGG